rnacentral:rRNA from 1 species
GACGAACGCUGGCGGCGUGCUUAACACAUGCAAGUCGAGCGAUGAAGUUUCUUCGGAAAUGGAUUAGCGGCGAACGGGUGAGGAACACGUGAAGAAUCUGCCCUCCACUUUGGGAUAACACCGGGAAACCGGUGCUAAUACCGAAUAUUGAAACAUAAGUGGCAUCACUGAGUUUUGAAAGAAUUUCGGUGGAGGAUGACUUCGCGGCCUAUCAGCUAGUUGGUGAGGUAAUGGCUCACCAAGGCAACGACGGGUAGCCGGCCUGAGAGGGCGACCGGCCACACUGGGACUGAGACACGGCCCAGACUCCUACGGGAGGCAGCAGUGGGGAAUAUUGGGCAAUGGAGGGAACUCUGACCCAGCGACGCCGCGUGCGGGAUGAAGGCCUUCGGGUUGUAAACCGCUUUCAGUAGGGAAGAAGCGAAAGUGACGGUACCUACAAAAGAAGCACCGGCUAACUAUGUGCCAGCAGCCGCGGUAAUACAUAGGGUGCAAGCGUUGUCCGGAAUUAUUGGGCGUAAAGAGCUCGUAGGUCGUUUGUUACGUCGGAUGUGAAAACCUGAGGCUCAACCUCAGGCCUGCAUUCGAUACGGGCAAACUAGAGUUUGGUAGGGGAGACUGGAAUUCCUGGUGUAGCGGUGGAAUGCGCAGAUAUCAGGAGGAACACCAAUGGCGAA